rnacentral:rRNA from 1 species
GGAGGAAACUCUGACCGAGCAACGCCGCGUGAAUGACGAAGUACUUCGGUAUGUAAAGUUCUUUUAUCAAGGAAGAAAAACAAAUGGCGAACCAUUUGUUUGCCGGUACUUGAUGAAUAAGCCCCGGCUAAUUAUGUGCCAGCAGCCGCGGUAAGACAUAAGGGGCAAGUGUUAUCCGGAAUUAUUGGGCGUAAAGGGUGCGUAGGCGGUCUAGUAAGUCAGUGGUGUAAUGGCAACGCUUAACGUUGUCCGGCUAUUGAAACUGCUAAACUUGAGUUAGAUAGAGGCGAGUGGAAUUCCAUGUGUAGCGGUAAAAUGCGUAAAUAUAUGGAGGAACACCAGAGGCGUAGGCGGCUCGCUGGGUCUUAACUGACGCUGAGGCACGAAAGCGUGGGGAGCGAACAGGAUUAGAUACCCUGGUAGUCCACGCCGUAAACGAUGAGUACUAAGUGUCGGGUUAAACCGGUACUGAAGUUAACACAUUAAGUACUCCGCCUGAGUAGUACGUACGCAAGUAUGAAACUUAAAGGAAUUGACGGGACUUCGCACAAGCGGUGGAUCAUGUUGUUUAAUUCGAAGAUACCCGAAAAACCUUACCAGGUCUUGACAUGUUUUUGCAAAAUGAUAGUAAUAUCGUGGAGGUUACCAGAAACACAGGUGGUGCAUGGUUGUCGUCAGCUCGUGUCGUGAGAUGUUAGGUUAAGUCCUAAAACGAGCGAAACCCUUAUCGUUAGUUGCCAGCACGUUAUGGUGGGGACUUUAACGAGACUGCCAAUGAUAAAUUGGAGGAAGGUGAGGAUCACGUCAAAUCAGCAUGCCCCUUAU